rnacentral:lncRNA from 10 species
GUGGCUUGGAAGACCGACGCGAUGAAGCCCAGACCUGCAGGGUUCGUGGAUAAUAAACUCAAGCAGCGAGUCAUCCAGUAUAGACUAUGGUCGAAGAAAAAGAAAUGCUUUUAGGAUUCAGGUAGAAAAAGUAUUUAGCAUAAUUAGUAGUGAGAAGGAACUUAAGAAUUUAACAGAAUUAGAAGAUGAACAUUUGGCAAAAAGGGCAAGACAAGGUGAAGAGGAUAAUGAACAGCGUCUCGCUCUGUCACCCAGGCUUCAGUGCACUGGCACAAUCAUGGCUUACCGCAGUCUUGACGUCCCAGGCCCAAGCGAUCCUCCCACCGCAGCCUCACAGGUAGCUGGGAUUACAGGUGUGUGCCAGCAUGCCCAGCUAAUUUUUUAAUUUUUUUGUAGAGACAGAGUCUCCCUUAGUUGCCCAGGCUAGAAUUUGUAUCUUAAUAUCUUAAUUAUAACAGCAUUUCAUUGCAUUCAUAUAAAGCUUUCUACCUAAAAAAAAAAAAAAAUUAUUUAAAUAAGAAAAGGGCUUUUUUUUUUUCUUAUUUAAAUAGUUUUUUUUUUUUUUUUAGGCAGAGUCUCGUACUGUGGGCCAGGCUGGAGUGUAGUGGCACGAUCUUGGCUCACUGCAACCUCCGUCUCCCGGGCUCAAGUAAUUUUCCUGCCUCAGCCUCCCGAGUAGCUGGGAUUACAGGCGUAUUUUCACCACACCUGGCUAAUUUUUGUAUUUUUAGUAGAGACGGGGUUUCACCAUGUUGGCCAGGCUAGUCUCGAACUCCUGACCUCAGGUAAUCCACCCACCUCGGCCUCCCAAAGUGCUGGGAUUACAGGCGUGAGCCACCAUGCCGGGCCUAUUUAAAUAAUUUCCAAAGAAGUAUUAAAUACUAGCAGUGUCCUGAAGUUACUUGAAGCUAUUAGAUAACAACUUUCAGUUAUAAUGAAUUAAGACUACAUUCUCAGCUUGUAGUUUAUUAGGCUUUAUACCUCUUUUUUGAUACAGGAAAUUUAUUUGCUCCUUCAUCCCUCAUGAACAGUCUUGCAGAAGUUGUAUUUGGUUACAUGCUUUGGUCAUGUUGACUUUGUGAAUUUGUUACUCAGAGUACUUAAUUAUAGGUUGCUGAAAUAUUUCCUCUACCUGAAUCUGAUAUCCCUAAAUGGGACCCUUGGGCCUGAGGGAAUUUGUAUCUCACUUUUAUUUAUUGCUAGGAUAAAUAUAACUAUAAUUUAUUUUGCAUUUAUUAUAUUUUGUAAAUGCAUAAGGACUUUGCAAGUGUUUAUUUAAUCCUUUAAUAACCCUGGGAGACAGACAUUACUUAUUAAAUCUCCGUUUUAUAGAUAAGGAAGCUGACGCUUAGAGAGGUUAAGUAAUAACUGGUUAAGUUGGAUUUUGAAUCCUAGUUUCUCUGAUUCCAGAGUUUGGACUCUUAACCACCAUAAUCUUUUGGCUGAAUAUAUUUACUUGUUUUGGGUAGUCAUUUUUUUAGGAUAUGGGAGAGAAAGUCUUUAAAACAUUUUUCCCUCCUUUUACUGAGGUAUACUGAAAGCUAUUCUGAUGAUGAUUCAAGUAUGGAAGACUACCCAGAUCCACAGUCAGCAAAUCACAUGAACAGUUCCCUGCUGUCUUUAUAUCGGAAAGGAAAUCCUGAUUCUGUUUCAAAUACUCCUGAGAUGGAGCAAAGAGAAACCACCUCUUCAACACCACGGAUAAGUUCCAAAACAGGCUCCAUUCCCUUGAAGACCCCUGCCAAAGAUUCUGAAGGAGGAUGGUUUAUUGACAAAACCCCAAGUGUAAAGAAAGACAGUUUUUUCUUGGACCUGUCAUGUGAGAAAAGUAAUCCUAAGAAGC